rnacentral:lncRNA from 1 species
GAUCACCCCGACGCGGGUGGCGAGGGUCCCGCCGAGCGCCAGGUCUAAGAGACACUUUUUCCCGAGUCCACUGACGGCUUCUGAACCCCUGCUCCGGCCGGUCCGCACCGUUCCGGCAUUCUCUUGCUCAGUAACAAUUUCGCAGAAUCCCAUCACGUCACAAACCAAACCCCCUCCAAUUGGCCAGUGGGGAGGGUGAUUCAACUCUGUUUACUUUCUCCCCCUGCCAGUCAGAACGGCCUUCGGUGGAGAGGUGCGUCUAGAACUGAGGCGUGCGGCCAAUCCGACUGUUCCGUUUCGCUGCCUCGUGCUACCCCUACAGCCUCGAACACUGACAUUUAAAAGGGUAACAGCUGGGAGGCAGGGAAGGGGCAGCCGCACACUUUCGGAGUGCCUCGCGGUCCCGUGGCCGGUCCGGGCCUCCUGGCUCACGUUCCAGCUUGCGGAGCUUUGGGACACAUCUUUCCUAGUCAGUUGCGCUCGUUCCUAUGGCAAAAGAGAACUUCAGCUUCGGUUUUCCAGCUCCCAAACAGUUAAGUGACUUCCUGCAAACGCUACAGUCCCAGCAACCAGCCUUCCAAUCAAAAUGAAUAAACCAGCAGACCAAUUCAGAGCCCAUUUCAGUGGUGCAGGUGAGAGGUGUUAGAGACCUGGACAAGGUGGUGGCAGAUGAAGAUGGAGAGAAGAGAGAUAGGAUCUCGCUAUGUUGCCCAGGCUGACCUCCUGCCUCAUGCAUCCCUCACCAAGCUUAACAGGUACAUCACCCAUAAACGAAAAGAAUCUUCCUAAAACACCUGGAACCAAUUCCUGGAGUAAUCUCAGCUUGGCAGAGGGUGUGAAGCAUCAGACCUUGUUGUUUGAUGGAUUUAAGAUUGGAUAUAAGAAGACAUGGACAGACCCUUGAAGUCGACCCAGAAGUGGCAGGAGAGCUCACAAAUUUUGAGAUAAUCAUAUUUUGAGAUUUAACCAAAGUUUCUCUGCUUCUGCCCCUAACCUGUCCCUGAAUCCAGACUAAAGACAUUCUGCUUUUAUUCUCUAGAUGAAUGAAUGACUUAGCAAAAAUGCAGAGAGAAAGCUAAGAGUCUAAACAGACUUUGAAACUGCUGGUGGAGAUGGGAAUUUGAGAAAAAAAAGAAAAGCUUUUGAGGUUCAAAAGCUUAAGUUUUGGAGUUUCAAAAGCAUGCCUCCUAAGGGGAUUCAGGGCAUAGAGAAUAUGUGAUGAGUAGAAUGAAGAACAAAAACAGGCAAACACUGAAAAGUACCCUAGAGUGGAGUUGGAGGGGGAGAAAAAAUAUUGGUUCCUGUGCCCUGAACGUCCCUGGGCCAAGUCUGCGUGAGGAACAAUGGAGCCCCAGGUAGGCUGGGGAAACUGAGGCACAAGGGACAUGAUAGUGGCGUGGAUGGGACACAGGAGACUGUGGCCAUGAAGAGGAACUGGAAUAACAUAGCAGAGGACCAGUAUGGAGGUGACAUGAAGGACCUGGUAGACCCUGCCCCUGACAUCUUGGGAGCCCUGAGGAAAUGGAAAUCUACAGGCAUCCUGAAUUUACUGAGAUUAAAUUUCUUCCAUUGAGCAGAAUGGGAGCUGAAAAGGGCACACUUCAGCUGAUAUUUGUACACAUGACACAUAGAAAGACAUCAUGCAAACUAUGAUUAUGAGGUGACACUUUUGUUCUCUUGAGACAGGGUCUCACUUUGUCUCUCAGGCUGCAGUGCGGUGGUAUGAUCACA